AUACUUACCUGGCAGGGGAGAUACCAUGAUCAUGUUCAUGAAGGUGGUUUUCCCAGGGCAAGGCUCACCCAUUGCACUCCGGAUGUGCUGACCCCUGCGAUUUUCCCAAAUGCAGGAAGCUCGACUGCAUAAUUUGUGGUAGUGGGGGACUGUGUUGGCGCUCUCCCCUG